ensembl:lncRNA
GUUGGUUAAGAUUGAAAUGAAUCUAAUUAAGUAAAUGGGUUUCAAUAUGAAAAAAAAAAGAGUAAACUGGUACAAAAAUUAGAAUUUGGCUUUCUCUCUCAAAAGGAUACUUUUCUUAAACUCUUAGUCUGCUCUUGAUAAAGAGAUUAUAAAAGGUUUAGAGGAUCUAUGUUUGGUUAAGAUAAUCUCUCUAUGCAAAAGACAGAGGUCUAUUAAGGUUUUUUUGCUAUUGUCACUUUGGUUAAAUAUUAUGAAGCAUUGUUUCAUUGACCCUUGUUUUACAAUGACAAAAUCAGCGUUUUAAAACCUUUUGAUAUUUUUGACAAGCUUCUCCCUCAAAAAUAUUCAAGUCCUGAAUAAAUGCUUUCUUUUGACCUGGAUGAAGGAAGAGGAUUUCUCUGGGGAUUUUCAGAGGGCCACUGGGACUUCACAGAGAAAUUUGCUCUCUUCCUAUAAGGUGGAAAAUUCUAAACUAAUUAGGCUUAUUGGUCUGUUAAAUUACAUUGGAAGCAUUGUCAUAUAAGUGAUGAUAAUCUUUCUUAAGUGGUAUUAUGUGGGUAAAUGUUACUGAUAUAAAUGUUCUGAAAUUAUAUAACACUCCUAAAAUUCUGAUCUGUCCUGGCUAUCAGUCAUAAUUCUGCUUAUUUUAAGCUGUUGUCUAUCACAGGAAUAAUAAGUUUCUCUGUCAAUUGUCAUUUUUAAGUCUUUGUUGUUUACAGUCAGUUGUUUUACUCUGAUGCUUUUUGCUUUUGCAAAUAUGUCUCAUCUUCAGAGGGAUUCAUGGAAAGGACUCUGACACUUACUCUGGAACACAGUUUUCUGAUAAACUUUCAGAUCAUAGAACUGAACUCUGGGUAAGGAAUUACAGAAAUCUAAUGGAGAAACUGAUGACCACAUAAAACUGCUAACAGAAGAUUAAGAUCAAGAACCGGUUAUACAGGACUGAAUGAACUGAGGAUGAUAAUUUUUAUGACUUUUAUUUGAAAUAUUGUUGAUUUUUUUGAUGUUUUGCUUUGUUUUUUCAGAUUCAAGAAAAUCUUUUUCUCUUUUCUCUUGUGCUAACUAUGACUUAGCAAUUUGGUGAAGUUAUACCUUUGUGAGCAAAACUGAAACAUUUAUCUUUUUCUCCCUACCUGAUCCCUUGAGAAUAUGGAAACUCUUUGUGAGUAUGGUUAUUUCAUGGCAAUAUAAUUAUUUGCAUAAGUUCAAUAAGAAUCUGUUCUCCUUAUAACAGGACACAUUGGUUGUAUUACCAAGGCUUUGACUGGAAUGUCAUAUUUGAGAGAAACAUACAGACUCGGAUAUGACAAUACUGCCUUUGAGGAAUAAGGUUGACUUUGUGAAAAUAAGCCACUUGUAAAUAUGGGCCUGGUACCUUGCUUUACAGAGAGAGAUUCCAGCAGUCUUACCUGGUAAGUAAGGAAGCUUGCUUAUCUGGCAGGUGCAAGGAACCUCAGAGUAUUUUGGAGGACCUCGAGAAGAGAGGAGUCCACCCAAAUCUGUAGGUACUGCAGGCAAAAUCUGACAGCAAGUCCUUGGCUUGGCUUUCCUGGCCUCGAGAGGUCUUUAAAGUUCAAUCUGAGAUUCCUCAUAAAAAAUUCCAGCAAAGCAGAUUUAAGAGCCUAUAUGAUCAACUGCUAUUCUUGCUGCACUUAUGUAAAUAAUUGGGCCAAUUUUCUUGAAACUAAACUUAUUUUGCAAACCAAUUAGUCUUAAUUUGGCUGUCUUUGGUAAAAAUGAGGGUGAUUUUAGAGAGAAGAACUAUGUUUCAGUGAAAAACUAUAAGACCCAUUUGUGGAUGUUAGAUCCUAGUUUUGUUAAUUGUCUUUGGGUUUUUUUUUCUACUUGUGAACUUGACUGGAUCCUGAAUUCUUCUGCUGAAAUAUCUGGUUACAAAUCUCCAAACUAAUGUUUUCAAUUUUUUUACCUCAUUUUCAUUUGGAAUCAUUGAGAAUUGAACCUUCUCUUUUUCCUGAAGCCUUGCUAACUAAAGCUGAACAACUUGAUAGAAACUUAAGAGAGAUUCCUGUCUGUUGCUGUGUAAGCUGUAAGCCACUCAGAAAGAUACCUGAAUGCCUGAUGACAUCAUCAGAGACUUUCAAGCUGCUAAAGAUGCUUCACUCUGACACCUAGAAGUCUUCUUGACUGGCUGCCUCCUGGACUCAGGAACUAGUUUAUAAUUUGCUCCAACCAUUAACCUUGGUUUUCUUUUUAUGUCCAUAGAAAUACUUAUUAAAUACCUGAUUGCUUGCUUCCAAAAUAUAGGCCUAACUUUGGGAGCCCACCUGCAUCGCCGCCUUCUAAAAUGACUUUAUUUAUUUAUUUUUUUUUUUUAAAGAUUUUAUUUUUUUCCUUUUUCUCCCUAAAGCCCCCCCGGUACAUAGUUGUAUAUUCUUCAUUGUGGGUCCUUCUAGUUGUGGCAUGUGGGACGCUGCCUCAGCGUGGUUUGAUGAGCAGUGCCUUGUCCGCGCCCAGGACUCGAACCAACGAAACACUGGGCCGCCUGCAGCGGAGCGCGCGAACUUAACCACUCGGCCACGGGGCCAGCCCCUAAAAUGACUUUAACUGGACUGAUCUAUUAACAGGACUAAGAAAUGUGUUCAGUGAGAUGAAACAAUCUACCACUCAGCUUCUGGACUGUGAAACUUUAAAAAGUUUCAAAGGCAAGGACUUAAAAUCUGCAUUUUAUUGUGCUAGUCUGGUAACCUCCUGUAACUGACUUCCCUCCCCCUCCCAACGUUGGCAUCUCCUUAAAGAUUAAGCAUCUUUCUUUAGGCUGGGAACCGAUUGCAGCGCUCAUCUGUGACCCCCCACCCAGCCCGAGGCAACACACCUGCCACCCUGCGGCGCUCACUGAGACAGCAGACCUAUCUGCCGUUUCCAUCAAGCGCUGUGCUGGCAGAGCAGCCUCGUGACUAUUGUAAAAGGGACUUUUCAAUCACAUGUGAAACACCCCGUUUGGGGGCUAUAUAACCACUCUGUGCACUCCACUUCUUUGGUGCCCUUUCUUCCUUCGGGAAGAAAGGCCCCGGGCCAUGGUUCCUCAUUAAAGCUUUGUUUAAUUUUCUCUUGCUAUUCUGUCUCAUGUGAAUUUAAUUCGUUCUCCAGCCAGACGAACCCCCAUUUGGGGAGAGGAAAUGUUCUCCUCCCCUACAUAUCCAAAGCAAAUGUUACAAAACUUCUGCAUGACUUUCACCAGAACAAAAUUUUUGUUAAUUUCAAGUCUUAUACCCUACAAUUAUAUAAUGACAUAGAAAGAUAACUUGUUGGAGUCAGAACAACAGGCUAAAAGCACUUCGGUGUAGAGUCUGUGUGACUAGAGCAAAUCAUUCACCAUCUCUGAAUGUUUGUUUCCUCAUCUAUAAAAAGAGUGAUUGUGAAGACAAAAAGGUCUGUACAGAGUUUUGAAAACUUUAAACCACCAUGUAAUUAGCAGUUACUAUUUUUUAUUUUUUACAUUUAUAAAAUACUUUCUGAGUUUACUUUGUCUGUAUUACUCCAAAGAUCCCUAAAGCAGCAGGCAGCUUUACCCAGGGGGCAUGAAUCGGAAAGUAGAUGACUGUUUUCAGUGAGAAAAGCAGGAUUUGUUCCUGAGUCUCAUCAAGAAGAGCACUCUCUUCCAACUAGAAAAGUAAAAACCUUACUUAUAAUUUAAGAAGCAAAAAUGCCAGGAGAUUCCUGAGGCUCCUACAUUGACUUUGGAAGCAUUGUCAAGAGCUGGUUGCAUAUUAGAGGCUAUGAAUAACAGGACAUUAUGAUUUAGAUUUAAGAAGAAGCGGUAUUGGCAAUUGUGCCAACUUUUUUUCACUGUCUUAGGAGAAGCAAUUGUAGCAAACUGCCCAGACAAGCUCUGGGGUCAACGUGAGGACGAGGUCAUUAAAUGCAGUCAAUAUGACCUAGACUGUUGACCUUUCCACAUCUAAAUAUUCUCAACAGUUUUUCAAACUUCAACAAUGACAAUUAACAGCCCAGCAACUUAAGUUUGACAAUUUACUGCUGCAUUUGCCAGUUGUGCUUUGGAUUUGACACUAUUAACAUAGCAAAAGCUAUCUGCAUAAGAAAGAUCUUCCAGUUAAGACAAAAUUACAGAUUUCAGAACAAGAGGGCAUUAAAACAUAGGUGGAAAUUAUUUGGCUCAUUGGAGGUUCUGAUAGAAUUGUUGAAACUGAAAUGCAGAUAAUGGGGAAUCAAAUCAAGGAAAUGAAGUCAUCCAGUGUAUAAAUGGACAUACAGUAAAUAAGUACAUGUAAAAUUCAGGAUGGCAUUUCUCUAGGCAAAGUUUUCAAAGCAGUUGGCCUCUCUUGCAAUGUAUGUUUUUUGCAGUCAAUUAAAAAAUAAAUGAAUACAAUCUCAAAAGUUAAAUUAAUACAAUAGAAUAGUGAUUACAGCCUUAAUGCCACUCUGGAGUCAGUCCACCUAGGAUCCAAUCUUGGCUUUGUCACUUACAAUUGUGUGACUUUGGGUAAAUUUUAUCACCUAUGACUCUACGUUCUCAUCUGUAAAACCUAUUUGAUUGGAUUUUUUUUUUUUUAGUUAACAGAGGUUAUAAGAGAAAAUUGGUACAUAAUAAGUGCUAUUUAACUGUUUGAUAUUAUUAAUCUAAUGUCCUGAAACAUAAAUGAUUAAUUAGAGCAUCUAAAUAAAGAAUUCAAACAUCAUGUAGAGUCUUUUCCCUUAACUGCUGAGAAGUUGAUGUCCACUUACCUUAAGACAUUUACCUUCAAAAACUGGAAUCUGAUAUUAUCUGUAAAUGUUGAGAUGUAGCUUAGAAAUAUACCACUAAUUCCCAAAGGUUUACAAAUCUCUCAAGAUUUGGCUCUGUGUGCAUUAGAUAGUUAAUGAAAAAAAUAAUUAGAGCUCUGAAUGAUCUCAAAAAGAUCUCAUCACCCAAGAGAUUAGUCUCUGUUUGUAAAAAAAUGUAUUUUGUCCUCUAUAACACCUUAGAAUUUACAAAGUUUUUUGCCAAAUGGUAUUCUUACCAGCAAGAUUUUUUGUCUGAAUCUUUGUUCUAGGUACUCAAACAGUCCCAAAGAGAUUUGCUGUCUGGGGAAGCUUCUGUAUUUUUUCUAUUUAAUAGUCCAUCUGUUUUCUGUCAUGAAGUCAAUAAGGGAACUUGGAGACUCAAAUACAGUUGUUUCUGACACAGAUCUAAUUAAAAUAGUCUUUCAUAUAAUGAAUGCCUUCAAUUUUCUUAAUUGCUUUAGAUCACCUGUUCAAAUCACAGCUUCCUACUUUGUGAUGUAAUGCCAGAUUAUUUAAAUACUUCUGUAGCAUAACGAUGAGAGUAAAUUUCUGACCUUUGCAAACAUGUGAGAUUGCGCUAUUAAUAUUCCUUUCUCAUACUAUCCUCGUCUGGUUGAGAUAUCACUGUUAUUGUGACGAUUCAAGAGAGCUAGCCCUCUAUUUCUGCUCCACAAAAAUGUUCACAUAAGUUGGAGGGCAUUUAUUUUUGUAGUUCUAUUCGAAUUUACAUGUAAAAGCAUUUCAGCAUUUUGAGGA